UAGAGUUUGAUCAUGGCUCAGAAUGAACGCUGGCGGCGUGCCUAACACAUGCAAGUCGAGCGAGAAAGUUUCCUUCCGGAGGCGAGUAAAGCGGCGGACGGGUGAGCAACGCGUAAGAAUCUGCCCUUUAGUGAAGAAUACCCUCGAGAAAUCGAGGUUAAUGCUGCAUAAGUCCCUUCGGGGAGAAAGGUGGCCUCUAGCUGCCGCUAAAGGAUGAGCUUGCGUGCUAUUAGCUAGUUGGUGGGGUAAUGGCCUACCAAGGCGAUGAUGGCUAGCCGGCCUGAGAGGGUGUACGGCCACAUUGGGACUGAGACACGGCCCAGACUCCUACGGGAGGCAGCAGUGAGGAAUAUUGCGCAAUGGGCGAAAGCCUGACGCAGCGACGCCGCGUGAAGGAUGACGGCCUUCGGGUUGUAAACUUCUGUUAAGUGGGAAGAAAUCUCUGCUAGUAAUAUGAGUAGAGGAUGACGGUACCAUUAGAGAAAGCACCGGCUAACUUCGUGCCAGCAGCCGCGGUAAUACGAGGGGUGCAAGCGUUAUUCGGAAUUACUGGGUGUAAAGGGUGUGUAGGCGGCUUGUCAAGUCUGCUGUUAAAUCUUUCGGCCUAACCGAAAGCUUGCGGUGGAAACUGAUUUGCUAGAGAGCGGAAGAGAGAGAUGGAAUUCUCGGAGUAGCGGUAAAAUGCGUGGAUCUCGAGAGGAACACCGAUGGCGAAGGCAGUCUCUUGGGCCGUUUCUGACGCUGAGACACGAAAGCGUGGAUAGCAAACAGGAUUAGAUACCCUGGUAGUCCACGCCGUAAACGAUGAUCACUAGAUGUCAGCCCCGUUUCAGGGGUUGGUGUCGUAGCUAACGCGUUAAGUGAUUCACCUGGGG
rnacentral:rRNA from 1 species